GUCGGCGUGCAUGUAUCUGGUGCACGGUUUUCCAGUUGUAAUAUCGCUUCGUGACUAGAUUACAUGCUCGUCUAUG
rfam:Aedes albopictus isolate Foshan contig84359, whole genome shotgun sequence.